UACGUAGGGUGCAAGCGUUGUCCGGAAUUAUUGGGCGUAAAGAGCUCGUAGGCGGUUUGUCGCGUCUGCUGUGAAAAUCAGGCUUAACCCUGGACCUGCAGUGGGUACGGGCAGACUAGAGUGCGGUAGGGGAGAUCGGAAUUCCUGGUGUAGCGGUGAAAUGCGCAGAUAUCAGGAGGAACACCGGUGGUGUGAGACGGCU
rnacentral:rRNA from 1 species